UACGAAGGGGGCUAGCGUUGUUCGGAAUUACUGGGCGUAAAGCGCAUGUAGGCGGAUAUUUAAGUCAGGGGUGAAAUCCCGGGGCUCAACCCCGGAACUGCCUUUGAUACUGGGUAUCUAGAGUCCGGAGGAGGUGAGUGGAAUUCCGAGUGUAGAGGUGAAAUUCGUAGAUAUUCGGAGGAACACCAGUGGCGAAGGCGGCUCACUGGUCCGGUACUGACGCUGAGGUGCGAAAGCGUGGGGAGCAAACAGG
rnacentral:rRNA from 1 species